rnacentral:pre_miRNA from 1 species
CCCACACCCAUGUGUGUAGGACUCCAAAGGAUCACCAUUAAAUUUAGCACAGACAUCUAGAAAAGUUAUCACAUGGGGGUAAGACUUGACUUUUCUAGAGAUCUGUACUAAAUUUAAAGGUGAUCCUUUGGGAUCCUACACACAUGGGUUUGGG